rnacentral:rRNA from 1 species
GCUUACGGCCAUACCAACCUGGCUAUGCCCGAUCUCGUCUGAUCUCGGAAGCUAAGCAGGUUUGGGCCUGGUUAGUACUUGGAUGGGAGACCGCAUGGGAAUGCCAGGUGCUGUAAGCU